UUAGGACACCCAACGAAAUAACCUGGGCACACAGAGACCAACCUUAUUAACCGGGGGGUGAUGGGAGGCAGGACAGAGCUUCAUGAGCAGUGAGAAGGGUGGGCACCCACCGGGAGGGCUGGGAAGCCUCUGAGCAGCAAACCACCCUGGGUAUUUCUCAGCCAGAAAGGGAUGACUCCAAUUUUCCAAUCAGCUGGGAGACCCCUGGCCCCUCCAGAUUCCCUCUAAACAGCAAGGCCACAGAAGAUCUGAGCCCCCUCCUAGAGCCCGGCCCACUGUGUGUCCAUCCAGACCUGGCCCAUCCCAAGAGCCCUGUGUCUGUGAGUUCCCUCGGGUCUGUGCUGUGUCCGGAGGGUGUUUCCCUCUCCCUUUGCUUCAGGACCCACUGCGUGUUUCUCCUUGGCUCCUACAUCCCCUCUCGGCUGCACUUAAUGAUUUCCCAGAUUCUUACAGACCACUGGGAUCGCUUCCUUCAGAGUGUUUCGGGAAGCCCAGCACGCCCCAGCUUUCUCCCCAAGGGGCAGGCUGCUCUCAGGAGUGGGAAGCCCAUCUCCACCUUCAUCCCUCUGGCCCAGAGGAGGCUUCCUUCCCUGGAGGGCUGAGGCAGCAGGCAGCUGGGUCAGCCCACGCCUCUCGCAUGUAGCCAUCUGAAUCAUUUCCUUUCGCAAUGUGUUACUCAGUUUCAGGGCCUGCCACGUGGGGGUGUUUCCAUUCCUUUCUGCAGCUGCACUUGGUGGACGUGGGGAACGUGGCAGUUGUGCCUUUCUCUGGACAGCAGAGGACCUCCCUGAACCCCAAACACCUAAGUCCUCAUCACCUCCGUUUCUUUUCUAUAAAAUGGAGGUGAUGACACUUGAUUUGUCUAACACUUUCUUAGUUGUAAGACAAACAAGAUGACCCAAGUGAAGGGGCUGAGUAGACUCCAAAGCAGUGCCUCUCAGUUGAGGGCUGGGAGUUGAUUCUGCCCUCUCGGGGACAUUGGUUGUCACUCCUGGGGGAGGGAGCUGCUGCGUCUAGAAGGUAGAGCCAGGGAUGCUGCUAAACAUCUUAUAACACACAAGACAGCCCCUACAACAAAGCAUUAGCCAGCGCCAAAUGGCAAUCACGCAGAGGUGGAGAAACCAGUCUAAAGAAUGAUUGAAAAGUAGUAACAUUUACGAUGGCCGGGUGCGGUGGCUCACACCUGUAACCCCAGCACUUUGGGAGGCCGAGGCAGGCAGAUCACCUGAGGUCAGGAGUUCUAGACCAGCCUGG
rnacentral:lncRNA from 1 species